GACGAACGCUGGCGGCGUGCUUAACACAUGCAAGUCGAACGGAAAGGCCCUGCUUUUGUGGGGUGCUCGAGUGGCGAACGGGUGAGUAACACGUGAGUAACCUGCCCUUGACUGUGGGAUAACUUCAGGAAACUGGGGCUAAUACCGGAUAGGAGCUCCUGCUGCAUGGGGGGGGUUGGAAAGUUUCGGCGGUUGGGGAUGGACUCGCGGCUUAUCAGCUUGUUGGUGGGGUAGUGGCUUACCAAGGCUUUGACGGGUAGCCGGCCUGAGAGGGUGACCGGCCACAUUGGGACUGAGAUACGGCCCAGACUCCUACGGGAGGCAGCAGUGGGGAAUAUUGCACAAUGGGCGGAAGCCUGAUGCAGCAACGCCGCGUGCGGGAUGACGGCCUUCGGGUUGUAAACCGCUUUCGCCUGUGACGAAGCGUGCUUGACGGUACUGGGUAAAGAAGCACCGGCUAACUACGUG
rnacentral:rRNA from 1 species